GGCGCACGGGUGAGUAACACGUGGGUAAUCUGCCCUUGAGUUUGGGAUAACCCCGCGAAAGCGGGGCUAAUACCGAAUAAGACCACGGGGACCAAAGUCCCUGAGGUAAAAGAUGGCCUCUAUUUAUAAGCUAUCACUUAAGGAUGAGCCCGCGGCCCAUUAGCUAGUUGGCAGGGUAAUGGCCUACCAAGGCAAUGAUGGGUAGCUGGUCUGAGAGGACGAUCAGCCACACUGGAACUGAGACACGGUCCAGACUCCUACGGGAGGCAGCAGUGGGGAAUAUUGCGCAAUGGGCGAAAGCCUGACGCAGCAACGCCGCGUGGGGGAUGAAGGUUUUCGGAUUGUAAACCCCUUUCGAUCGGAACGAAUCUCCUCUUGGUAAAUAAUCAGGAGGAUCGACGGUACCGGGAGAAGAAGCCACGGCUAACUCUGUGCCAGCAGCCGCGGUAAGACAGAGGUGGCAAGCGUUGUUCGGAUUUAUUGGGCGUAAAGCGAACGCAGGCGGUUUGGUAAGUCAGGGGUGAAAGACCACAGCUUAACUGUGGUAUAGCCUUUGAUACUGCCUUUCUUGAGUGGAGUAGGGGGAAGCGGAAUUCCGAGUGUAGAGGUGAAAUUCGUAGAUAUUCG
rnacentral:rRNA from 1 species